rnacentral:sRNA from 1 species
GGGAGAUACACCCCAACCCCCAUCCUAGCCAUGCCAACCUCUACUACCCUCUCCCCAGCUCAUCCUGUUUGGGCUCAGUAAUCAGCUGGCUGUGACAUUCCGGGAAGAGAACACCAUCGCCUUCCGACACCUCUUCCUGCUGGGCUACUCGGACGGAGCAGAUGACACCUUCGCAGCCUACACGCGGGAGCAGCUGUACCAGGCCAUCUUCCAUGCUGUGGACCAGUACCUGGCGUUGCCUGACGUGUCACUGGGCCGGUAUGCGUAUGUCCGUGGUGGGGGUGACCCUUGGACCAAUGGCUCAGGGCUUGCUCUCUGCCAGCGGUACUACCACCGAGGCCACGUGGACCCGGCCAACGACACAUUUGACAUUGAUCCGAUGGUGGUUACUGACUGCAUCCAGGUGGAUCCCCCCGAGCGGCCCCCUCCGCCCCCCAGCGACGAUCUCACCCUCUUGGAAAGCAGCUCCAGUUACAAGAACCUCACGCUCAAAUUCCACAAGUACUGCCUGCUCACUCGAGGGGGGCCCAGGGUGGGGGAGGCAGCACACUAGGCACUCUCACCCCAGCAACUACUUCCCUAAGGUGGGGACAGGGCCCCCCCGCCCGCGCUGGUGCCUGCUGGGUGAGCACUUCCCCUGCCAG